GGAUGAAUUUUGCGCAAUGGCCGCAAGGCUGACGCAGCAACGCCGCGUGGGUGAUGAAGGCCUUCGGGUCGUAAAGCCCUGUCAGGUGGGAAGAAAGGCCUUAAGGAGAAAGACUUGAGGUUUGACGGUACCACCAAAGGAAGCACCGGCUAACUCCGUGCCAGCAGCCGCGGUAAUACGGAGGGUGCGAGCGUUAUUCGGAAUUACUGGGCGUAAAGCGCGUGUAGGCGGGGGGACAAGUCUGAUGUGAAAGCCCUGGGCUUAACCUGGGAAGCGCAUUGGAAACUGUUUUUCUUGAGUACUGGAGAGGAAGGGGGUAAUUCCCGGUGUAGAGGUGAAAUUCGGUAGAGAUCGGGAGGAAUACCAGUGGCGUAGGCGCCCUUCUGGACGGUAACUGACG
rnacentral:rRNA from 1 species